UCUAGGUUGUGCUAAACUUUCAUGUUUGACUUUAUUUUCCUUUUUGCAGCACAUACCUUUACCCACACACUUUUUCUUUAUAUUAUUUAUUUGUGUUAUGUAUGAAUACAUACUGUUGCUAUACCGGGGCGGCAGGUAGCCUAGUGGUUAGAGCAUUGGGCCAGUAACCGAAAGGUUGAACUAACUGAAUUCCUGAACUGACAAGGUAAAAAUCUGUUGUUCUGUCUCUGAACAAGGAAGUUAACCCACUGUUCCCUGGUAGGCUGUCAUUGUAUAUAAGAAUUUGUUCUUAACUGACUUGCCUAGUUCAAUAAAGAUUCAAUUAAAAAAAUACUAUAGUUAUCAUGCAAUGUUGACGCUCCACCUAGUGACACAUUAACCUUCUAAUGCUGCCUGAGGAAGACCUUUGGCCGAAAGGUGUGGCACCAUGCAUAGCUGUGUAUCCAAGUGUUGGAUAGAUGCCACAUCUUUUCCAUUAUGGCUCCUGUGACAUUAUGAGCAGUGCCAUUGAGGGCAAUCUCCAUUUUAAAGUACAGUAGUCAAUGUCUUCUUCUUCUAGUUCUAUAAGUUUAUUUACAGUCGGUAGACAAACUGAAGGGUGCAUACCGCCACCUAGAGUGUGUUGUCUGAACAGGCAUGAAGCCAAGAUUAGUAAAUGACUGCCAGCUACAACUAUCAAAUGUUUGCUCAGGGGGUUGGAAUUAUGUGAUCCUUCCUUAAAGGGGGCUGAACUCGCUGAUUUUGCUUCGUUUUUUCACCCCCACAUUAAGAAAUGCUACAGUAGAAGCCAAUCUAGAGUUUAAGUAGCGCUCGUUGGAGACCUCACCAGAACAACCGGGAGGUUUGCCUUUGUACUUGCCCUUCGGAUAGCACACGCUUUGUCACAUCCUGAUCUGUUUUACCUGUCUUGUGCUUGUCUCCACCCCCCUCCAGGUGUCUCCCAUUUUCCCCAUUAUCCCCUGUGUAUUUAUACCUGCGUUUCUGUUUGUCCGUUGUUGCUAUAGUUACUAGUUGUAGGGGUUCCGACCAUUUCUGCUUGCCCUGACCCCGAGCCUGCAUGCUGUCCUGUACUUUUCUGACUCUGACCUGCUUCCGAACUUCUGCCUGCCCUACCCAUGAGACUGCCUGCCGCCAUGUACCUGUCGAACUCGGACCUGGUUACGAACCUAUGCCUGUCCUCGACCUGCCCUUUGCCCAUCUCCUGUAGUUUCAUAAACUACUCUGUGUAUUGAACCUUCUGUUUCCUGUGUCUGCAACUUGGUCAUUUCCUGAGUUGUGGUAGUUUUGGGGCUUUUUCUGACUAAAGUACAUUUAACCUAUUUACUACCUAUGGUAUUAGGCCUAAGGAAAUGGCGUCCAUUGAGAGGGCAAGAACAAGAUGUAUGUUAGGAGAAGUGCAGUAUUAUCAAAAGGAGAUGUAUACUUGGGUUACGGAUGAGGAAUGGAUGGAAAAAGAGAGGCAGAGGUCGAAGAGAGGGAAUGAAGAGGGUGAGCUUCAAUCGGAAAAAGGGGAGAUGGUUUGGUAAAGAAGAAUGGUAGGAAGUGUAAGCAGAGUGAGCUGUACACCGGAUCAAAGACAGGAGGAGAAAUGGAAGUGAAUGACGGCGAAGUAUCAGAGGUGGUAAGUGUGGUGAAGUUCUCAGAGUCCGUGGCUUGCUCCGAGGGUCAGGAAAAAGAUGAGUCUGUGACGGUAGGAGUGACAUUUUUGGAAAAAGUGGACCCUUGCCUUUUUAGAUGAUCCAUUUGUGUUUUCAGGGUGGGUGAAAACAGAGUUGGGUGCUGUGGAAUCAGUGAAGGUAACCAGAAGUGGUCUUGUGAUAAUUAUGUGUUUCCGCUGGUCAGAGGGAGCAGUCGCUCUGCGUUAAACAUGGGGACAAGAGAUUUUGUUUUGUUUUGCUCUCAUGAAAAGGGUGCCAUUGAAUGGUGUGAUUACUGGGGUAGCAGUAAACGUGAAAGUUUACCAACUGAAGGGGAAGAUUCCCAGUGUUUGAUGCGCGUCCUUUGGUGCGACGCAGACAGGGUAGCGUGAGUGUUAAAACAGAAGAGUCGUCUGUUCUUUCAAGUUUUGAUGUUGAGUCUUUGCCUGACAAAGUGAUGUUAGGAUAUAGAAGUUAUCCCGCACAAGCUUUUGUGUCGAAUACAUUACGUCGUUACAGGUGUCAAGCUUAUGGGCAUGAGACAAAAUAAUGUGUAGCAUUGGGGUAAGUAGUGGUAUGUGUUAAUUGUAGGGUUGCCCAUGGAGCUGAGGAUCAGAAAUGCCCGGUGUGAAAGAGGCAGGUUGAGGUUACCAGGGACAGAUUAGUGCAGAAGUUGUGGUAUGCUGAGGCAGUGAAGAAAGUAAAGGAAGAUGGGUCAAGGGGGAGGGAUCCUGAGAGGAGUGAUGUGAGUAGUAGAUCUGUACCAGUACAGAGGGAUAGUCCAACAAGUGAUAUAUGCUUCAGUAUGACUGGAUAUUUAGCAUUUAUAGCAAUAGUUAUCAACUAUACUGCAGGGAUGUAACAAAAAUCGCAGAAAAUUUAAGUUGUGGUGGCAGCUGCAGAGAGGUAUUUGAGUGUACAAGACUUGAAGUCAGAAGAGCUACAGCGUGUGUUGAGUGGUGGUGUCCCGUCCUUUCAGGCUGUUGGCCUAAGGGAGGACUAGAUUGACUUAAAUAGUGGAGUAGGGUGGUGGGUUUUGGUGAGUGUAGAAUUAAAUGGUUGGGUAUUUGUUGAUAUGUUUUAUUUUUUGAAGAAAAAUAUAAGGGAGUUAUACUCCAGUCUAGUAGGUGGUGGUAAUACAACAUUUAUUGGAUGCCAACUGCUGUUAAACCCUAUCGAAGAAGAAACAAACAGGAGUUAUCUUGGGGGUGUGGUUUGAUCAAUGGGUUUGAUGUGGGUGUUAUGUUCACUAUUAGGUGAUUGGCAGUAGGAAGCCGUCUGCUUAAGUUUUCGAGAUGAUCGAUCUCUGUGGACGGAGGAGCUGGUUUUUACAUAUUGUGUAUAUUUAUUUAUUCUGAAAAUAUUUCAGUUUGUUGGCACUGUCAAUUCUUGCAGAUGUUAUUGUUCGCUAGAUGGACAGGCAAAUGUAAAAUGUAAACCAAUUCAAACUUGUGUACUAUCCAUGGUAGUAUCUCUGCUGAUCACGUUAUCCGCAUCUAAGGUAGUAGACUGGUGAUCUCCGUUCAUCAAACUGCUAUCAGCUCUCCUGUGUCCUGCUCCCAGAGAUCAACCAAGUGCUAUUCACCAAGCAUGGGCUGAUUCCCUCACCUGUGAGAACCAUCCGACUGCAGUUUGAACUAACCCUGCCGUCACUAUUUAUACAUUGGGACCACAUAUUGUCUUAGUCUAGUGCAUUUUAGAAUUGAAGAACACCCAUUACAGAUACAUGUGCUUGUUUGAGCAUAUUUAUUCAUUGUCUCUCACUUUUGUCUCCUGUGAUCUAUUCACCAAGUCUUGCGGUUUGAACUAGCCCUGUCGUCACGAUUUAGACAUUGCAUUUGCCUGUUUUUUUCUUCUUUGUGGUUUGUCUUACACAGUGUUAGGGUGGCAGGUAGCGUAGCGGUUAAGAUCAUUGGGCCAGUAAUCGAAAGGUUGCUGGUUUGAAUCUCUGAGCCGACUAGGUGAAAAAUCUGUAAUGUAAAUGUCUCUCCACAUCGCUGACCAGGGUGGGAUACUUUUGAUAUGCCGCCAAUGGGGUCUGAGCACACAACGACGCACACAAUGAAGGAGGAAUACUGAAGCAUGCAUUGAUAUGUCUCCUUCAGAGGCUCAGGCUUUUGGCAUAGAUGGUAACGCUCUCAUUACUGGACUGUAAGAUUGUGCUCUCCCCGGCACUUGAAAUAUAUUGAUUGGUACUGUAGGUUAUACUAUAUUUAGAUACUUCAAAUACCUUUGCUAUUGUCUCCGUAAUCAAUAAAUGGUGAAACACUA